CGUAGAUUAACGAGGUAGGAUACCAUGUGCAAGUGAUUCAUCCUUGCAAUAUUAUAAUUUUUUUUAUGUGAUUUAUUUCAUGAAAUGCUAAUUGACCUGCGGGUCCCUAUGAAAUGAAAUGUGAGAUCGCCUUUGGGUCUUCUCAAAUGUACUAGAGCUUUCGAUUGAUCACUGAUUGCUUUUGAUGAAAUGAUGGUCAGAUUGGUCAACGUGGAUGGUGGCUGAGUGGUGCGCAGGUUGCCAAAUAAAAGAAAUUUUUAGGAAUCCAUAAUAAAUUUGUUAGGGCAUUUUAUGUUUCUCUUCAAUUCCAUUCAUGACGCUAUGUUUAUUUGAUUCAGUAUUUGAGUUUCAAUAAAUUAAGGUAUUAAAUUUUAAAUUUUA